UAGGGGGCUAGCGUUGUCCGGAAUCAUUGGGCGUAAAGAGCGCGUAGGCGGCCAGAUAAGUCCGGUGUGAAAGUCACAGGCUCAACCUGUGAAUGCCGCUGGAAACUGUCUGGCUAGAGUCCGGAAGGGGCGAGUGGAAUUCCUGGUGUAGCGGUGAAAUGCGCAGAUAUCAGGAGGAACACCAAUGGCGAAGGCGGCUAACUGGUCCGGUACUGACGCUGAGGUGCGAAAGCGUGGGGAGCAAACAGG
rnacentral:rRNA from 1 species